UAUUUGACCUCAAAUCAGGUAG
rnacentral:rRNA from 1 species